AGCGCCGACAAGCCCGCAUACGCUUCUCUGCGAGGGGAAGGAAAGCCUUUUCGGAGGCGCUGGUGGCUGGGCCUGUGGCCGAUUAGCUAGUUGGUGUGGUAAAGGCGCACCAAGGCGACGAUCGGUAGCUGGUCUGAGAGGACGAGCAGCCACACUGGGAUUGAGAACGGCCCAGACUCCUACGGGGGGCAGCAGUGAGGAAUUUUCCGCAAUGGAGGCAACUCUGACGGAGCAACGCCGCGUGCAGGACGACGCGUUUCGGCGUGUAAACUGCUUUUCUGUGGGACGACACAGCGACGGUACCACAGGAAGAAGCCCCGGCUAACUACGUGCCAGCAGCCGCGGUAAGACGUAGGGGGCGAGCGUUGUCCGGAGUUACUGGGCGUAAAGGGCCCGCAGGCGGAACGGGGCGUUUGCUGUGACAGCGCGCGGCUCAACUGCGCGAGGGUAGCAAAGACGGCCG
rnacentral:rRNA from 1 species